UACGUAGGGUGCAAGCGUUGUCCGGAAUUAUUGGGCGUAAAGAGCUCGUAGGCGGUCUGUCGCGUCUGCUGUGAAAAACUCAGGGCUUUAACCCUGAGCUUGCAGUGGGGUACGGGGCAGACUAGAGUGCGGGUAGGGGGAGACUGGAAUUCCUGGUGUAGCGGUGAAAUGCGCAGAUAUCAGGGAGGGAACACCGGUGGGCGAAAGGCGG
rnacentral:rRNA from 1 species